rnacentral:rRNA from 1 species
UACGAAGGGUGCAAGCGUUACUCGGAAUUACUGGGCGUAAAGCGUGCGUAGGUGGUGAGUUAAGUCUGUCGUGAAAGCCCCGGGCUCAACCUGGGAAUGGCGAUGGAUACUGGCUCGCUAGAGUGCGGUAGAGGAGAGUGGAAUUCCCGGUGUAGCAGUGAAAUGCGUAGAGAUCGGGAGGAACAUCAGUUGCGAAGGCGGCUCUCUGGGCCGGAACUGACGCUGAGGAGCGAAAGCGUGGGUAGCAAACAGG